rnacentral:rRNA from 1 species
AGCGAACGCUGGCGGCAUGCCUAACACAUGCAAGUCGCACUGGGGGGCUUCGGCCUCCCAGUGGCGGACGGGUGAGGAACGCGUAGGGACCUGUCGAGGGGUGGGGGAUAACCGCGGGAAACUGCGGCUAAUACCGCAUGACGCCGCGGCGUGACAGCCGGGGCCAAAGGCGAAAGCCGCCCGCCGAGGGGCCUGCGUCCGAUUAGCUGGUUGGCGGGGUAGCGGCCCACCAAGGCGUCGAUCGGUAGCUGGUCUGAGAGGGUGAUCAGCCACACCGGGACUGAGACACGGCCCGGACUCCUACGGGAGGCAGCAGUGGGGAAUAUUGGACAAUGGGCGCAAGCCUGAUCCAGCAAUGCCGCGUGGGUGAAGAAGGUCUUCGGAUUGUAAAGCCCUUUCGGCGGGGACGAUGGUGACGGUACCCGCAGAAGAAGCCCCGGCUAACUUCGUG